CCUACGGGAGGCAGCAGUGAGGAAUAUUGGGCAAUGGAGGCAACUCUGACCCAGCCAUGCCGCGUGAGUGAAGAAGGCUUUCGGAUUGUAAAGCUCUUUCGGAUGUGACGAUGAUGACGGUAGCAUCUAAAGAAGCCACGGCUAACUUCGUGCCAGCAGCCGCGGUAAUACGAAGGGGGCAGGCGUUGUUCGGAUUUACUGGGCGUAAAGGGAGUGUAGGCGGUUUAGUAAGAUAGUGGUGAAAUCCCAGGGCUUAACUUUGGAAUUGCCAUUAUAACUAUUAGACUAGAGUUACAGAGAGGAUAGUGGAAUACGCGGUGUAGAGGUGAAAUGCGUAGAUAUUGGGUAGAACACCAGUGGCGAAGGCGGCUAUCUGGCUGUACAUUGACGCUGAGGCUCGAAGGCAUGGGGAUCAAACAGGAUUAGAUACCCUGGUAGUC
rnacentral:rRNA from 1 species